rnacentral:rRNA from 1 species
UAACACAUGCAAGUCGCGCGAGAAAUCCGGCACUCACUUUACGUUUCAGGUCUGGUUUUAAUUUACCGGGGAUUGGGGCGUAAAGUGAGUGCCGGAGAGUAAAGCGGCGGACGGGUGAGUAACGCGUGGAUGACCUACCUGUUGGUAGGGGAUAACCCUGCGAAAGCGGGGCUAAUACCGUAUAGUUCCCCUCACUCACUUUACAUGCGACUUUUGGCAGCACUGACCAAGUUAGUUAAAAAUUUGGGAUUAAGCAGUGCUCAUGCUGGUCGCAAGUAAAGUGAGUGAGGGGAUAAAGGUGGCCUCUGAUACAAGCUACCGCCAACAGAUGGGUUCGCGUCCCAUUAGCUAGUUGGUAGGGUAAUGGCCUACCAAGGCGACGAUGGGUAGCUGGUCUGAGAGGAUGAUCAGCCACACUGGGACUGGAACACGGCCCAGACUCCUACGGGAGGCAGCAGUGGGGAAUCUUGGGCAAUGGGCGCAAGCCUGACCCAGCGACGCCGCGUGGGGGAAGAAGGUCUUCGGAUCGUAAACCUCUGUCCGGAGGGAAGAAGUGACAGCGACUUAAGAGGUUGCUGUUUUGACGGUACCUCCAGAGGAAGCACCGGCCAACUCCGUGCCAGCAGCCGCGGUAAUACGGAGGGUGUAAGCGUUAUUCGGAAUCACUGGGGCGUAAAGCGCGCGUANGCGGCUGUGCAAGUCAGAUGUGAAAGCCCUUGGCUUAACCGAGGAAUAGCAUCUGAAACUGUAUGGCUAGAGUUCGGGAGAGGGUGGCGGAAUUCCCGGUGUAGNAGUGAAAUCCGUAGAUAUCGGGAGGAACACC